UGCAUAUCCAAAAAGCGGAGGAAAAGAAACCAACAGGGAUUGCCUUAGUAACGGCGAGUGACAGGCAGAGCUCAGAUUUGAAGCCUUUCGGGGCAUUGUAUUCUGAAGCCUUGAUUCUGAGAACCGGUACCUAAGUCUUCUGGAAAGGAGCGCCAAGGAGGGUGAUAGCCCCGUACGGUACUGACCUCAUUGUAGAAUCUUGGCGUGGAGUCGAGUUGUUUGGGAAUGCAGCUCAAAUGGGUGGUAUGCUCCAUCUAAAGCUAAAUAUCUGCGAGAGACCGAUAGCGAACAAGUACUGUGAAGGAAAGAUGAAAAGAACUUUGAAAAGAGAGUGAAAAAGUACGUGAAAUUGUUGAAAUGGAAGGAUAGGCCGCUAACCACGUAGAGCCGUGUCUGAGGGGAGGAUAAAAGCUGUAGAAUGUGGCUCUUCGGAGUGUUAUAGCUGCAGUGCAUACUCCCACUCGGGCGCGAGGACCUAAGGCUCUGCUAAAUGGUGGUCUAUCACCCGUCUUGAAACACGGRMCCA
rnacentral:rRNA from 1 species